AGCGGGAAAAGCUCAAAUUUAAAAUCUGGCAGAUGUUUGUCUGUCCGAGUUGUAACCUAGAGAAGUGUAACCUGUGCUGGACCGUGUACAAGUCUCUUGGACAUAGAGCAUCAUAGAGGGUGGGAAUCCCGUCUUUGACAUGGACUACCAGUGCAUUGUGGUUGCGCACUCAACGAGUCUAGUUGUUUGGGAAUGCAGCUCUAAAUGGGUGGUAAAUUCCAUCUAAAGCUAAAUAUUGGCGAGAGACCGAUAGCGAACAAGUACCGUGAGGGAAAGAUGAAAAGAACUUUGGAAAGAGAGUUAAACAGUAUGUGAAAUUGUUGAAAGGGAAACGCUUGAAGUCAGCUGCAUUGGCUGGGAAUCAAGCCAGCUUAUUUGCUGGGUGUACUUCCUGGUUGAUGGGCCAACAUCAGUUUUGACCAUCAGAGAAAGGCUAAGGGAAUGUGGCACCUU
rnacentral:rRNA from 1 species